UCCCUUCAAUUACAUGGACUUGUCUACUAUA
rnacentral:piRNA from 1 species